AAGCUACUGAUUAUCUCCACAGACUACAGUUCCAGACACAUUAUUUAAAUGGAAUGCUUUUUUGAACUAGUUGAUAAAAGAUCCCAAUUUCCCCCUGUUGUGGUAAAAGAUGUUCUAAGCCUUUAGAGAGACAGGGAAACAUUACACAACAGGAAAACUUUACUGUGUUCAAUACAUUACAGAUUUAUCUUACGGUGACAGUAGCAUUCUAUAGCUCCAGAAAACAUUGUCUGGUAACAAAAGGAUGUUCCUCAGUGUCUCUGAGACUAAGCCUCUUGAAAAAAACACUUGAGUUAAGAAACCAGCUCUUACCCUUUUGGUAUAGCCCCUGA
rnacentral:lncRNA from 1 species